ensembl:snRNA U6 U6 spliceosomal RNA
UUGCUUCAGCAGCACAUAUACUAAAAUUGCAAUGAUACAGAGAAAAUUAGGAUGGCCACAGUGCAAGGAUGACAUGCAAAUUCAUGAAACAUUCCAUACUUUU